rnacentral:rRNA from 1 species
GAUGAACGCUGGCGGCGUGCCUAAUACAUGCAAGUCGAGCGAACAGACGAGGAGCUUGCUCCUCUGACGUUAGCGGCGGACGGGUGAGUAACACGUGGAUAACCUACCUAUAAGACUGGGAUAACUUCGGGAAACCGGAGCUAAUACCGGAUAAUAUAUUGAACCGCAUGGUUCAAUAGUGAAAGACGGUUUUGCUGUCACUUAUAGAUGGAUCCGCGCCGCAUUAGCUAGUUGGUAAGGUAACGGCUUACCAAGGCAACGAUGCGUAGCCGACCUGAGAGGGUGAUCGACCACACUGGAACUGAGACACGGUCCAGACGCCUGCGGGAGGCAGCAGUAGAGAAUCUUCCGCAAUGGGCGGAAGCCUGACAGAGCAACGCCGCGUGUGUGAUGAAGGUCUUCGGAUCGUAAAACUCUGUUAUUAGGGAAGAACAAAUGUGUAAGUAACUAUGCACGUCUUGACGGUACCUAAUCAGAAAGCCACGGCUAACUACGUG